rnacentral:rRNA from 1 species
AUUGAACGCUUGCGGCAGGCCUAACACAUGCAAGUCGAACGAGUGGCGGACGGGUGAGUAAUGUCUGGGAAACUGCCUGAUGGAGGGGGAUAACUACUGGAAACGGUAGCUAAUACCGCAUACCCUCAGAUGUGCCCAGAUGGGAUUAGCUUGUUGGUGGGGUAACGGCUCACCAAGGCGACGAUCCCUAGCUGGUCUGAGAGGAUGACCAGCAACACUGGAACUGAGACAAGGUCCAUACUCCUACGGGAGGCAGCAGUGGGGAAUAUUGCACAAGGGGCGAAAGCCUGAUGCAGCCAGGCCUCGUGUAUGAAGAAGGCCUGCGGGUUGUAAAGUACUUUCAGCGGUGAGGCGUUACCCGCAGAAGAAGCACCGGCUAACUCCGUGCCAGCAGCCGCGGUAAUUC